CCAAAAUUUUCUCAAUUUUUACUUUAUUUCGAUCAAACUGACCAAACUAACCAAACUAACUAAACUAAUCAAUAUCGACAUACUCAUUAAUCCACACACGACACGCCAUUUUCCGUGACUUAAGCAAAUACGUAUAGACCUGCUCAACGCCCUCUAUGUUAUAAACGAUUGCGAGAUUAGUCAGCAAAGAGGUUAAGAAGAUGUAUUGCGAGGAGAAGCUCGAUUAUAGGUGCGUAGACACGAAUUGUGGCGAGAGGAAACGACGAAUAAGCGUUAAAACAGCCUUACGCAAAAUGCGUUCAUUAGCGUGCAAAUGGAUCGGAUGGAAAUGGCCGACCGUAAAAUAAUCUCGUUGCACCCGUAGUCGACCCGUUGCGUUCGUUAACCGUUCGUGAGCCACAGGAAUGGAUGCAAUUACCAAGAACAGAAUCGAAGCAUUUCUCUGCCAGUUGCACGUGGAAACUUGGAUAAUUUUGAUCCGGUAUCGCUGUUUCAACCUAACCUCCUAAUAUUCUUUUUUGGAGUGAAAAUAAGCACAGUCUUGGGCUGAGAAAUUGUUUUUGACCCACUUCGUCCGUGUGCACCGUAUUUUCCGUGUUCCAAGCUGCGAGAAAGUUGGGCAAACUCGACGAGAGGAUCAUCACGCGUUUCGAGAAUCCGUUACCUUGACUACCAGACGCAAAAACGCAAUUCGUUUGGAUUCUUGUUAAACUGUCCAUAGGCAAAACGCAAAAUUCCUUUUAUCUUUUCUGUUAGAUGGAAAUAUUGCUAUAUGGAAAUUUUUAUUCUGUGCGAUAAAUUGUACUUGAACUAUCUAAAUUUUCUUCAUUUUAUAAUUUUUUUUUCUCUUAACUUGUAUUGCAUCACUUUGAUAUCUAAGGUUCAUAUAUAUAUAUAUAUAUAUUUCAACAAACUA